AAAUAAUGGAAACUCAAAGGGGAUGUCAUUGUUCAGGGAGGACUUUGUAUGUUUAAAGGGCCAUUGAAUCUAGACUUCAAACUACAUUCGCCUGUCUUUUUCAUACAUAACUUUCAUAAAUAUCAUCUACUAAUCAUAACUAUUACCAAGACAACAUAUAAAAAUUGAAAAAAAUAAAAAAAAAAAUCUACAGCUUGCAUUCCGUAAUAUGAUCACUUUUUACAAAUUCAUUGGGAAUUUGGAUCCUUCGACUUAUACUAACCAUCAGAUUAACACAAGUACAUAAUAUAUAUACAUAUUAAGAUAAUAUAGUUUUUGUUUUCUUUUUUUUUUGGUAUCAAUAUUAAGUGCUAAACAAUUAUAGUUUCUCUAGUAACCCGUUUGGUAACAAAUAGAACAUAUCUUACCAGUUACCACAAUCGAUCGGUAAUGUAUCAACUUAGGUCGGAGCCAUCGGAGUUAAAUUCUUUAAGAUGCAAAAGCG
rnacentral:lncRNA from 1 species